GAUGAACGCUGGCGGCGUGCCUAAUACAUGCAAGUCGAGCGAACAGACGAGGAGCUUGCUCCUCUGACGUUAGCGGCGGACGGGUGAGUAACACGUGGAUAACCUACCUAUAAGACUGGGAUAACUUCGGGAAACCGGAGCUAAUACCGGAUAAUAUAUUGAACCGCAUGGUUCAAUAGUGAAAGACGGUUUUGCUGUCACUUAUAGAUGGAUCCGCGCCGCAUUAGCUAGUUGGUAAGUUAACGGCUUACCAAGGCGACGAUGCGUAGCCGACCUGAGAGGGUGGUCGGCCACACUGGAACUGAGACACGGUCCAGACUCCUACGGGAGGCAGCAGUAGGGAAUCUUACGCAAUGGGCGAAAGCCUGACGGAGCAACGCCGCGUGAGUGAUGAAGGUCUUCGGAUCGUAAAACUCUGUUAUUAGGGAAGAACAAAUGUGUAAGUAACUAUGCACGUCUUGACGGUACCUAAUCAGAAAGCCACGGCUAACUACGUG
rnacentral:rRNA from 1 species